CCCGUGCUACAACCGCUCAGGACCAGGCCAUAAGCUUUUGCCCCGGCAAAACGCCUGUGAUGGCGAGUCUUAGACUUAGA
rnacentral:sRNA from 1 species